CCGUGAGGGAAAGUUGAAAUAGAACUUUGCAGAGAGAGUUAAGAGGGCGUGAAACCGUUAAUUGGCAAACGAAUCGGAGCCACGAAGUCGUUUCGUUGAUAAGUUGGGCCAAGUUCCAGUUCCGAGGUGUAAAAGCUUCGGGACCUCACUCUUGUUAGUCCGACCAUCAUUGUAAGCGUACACUGCAACCAGUUAGACGAUUGACGAUGGGCWUAUGUAUGUAUGGGGAGCAAUCUUUGUAUAUGCGAAGCAUUUGUUUAUAUCAGCUAGUAGUAGUGCUGUAGAUUUCGGUUUAUAGUGCUGCUGGGUUGAUGUAAGAGAACUAUCGACAAAUACUGACUGGCGAAUUGAAAAUCGCGUGAACUCGCGUAACAUAGAAAGCAGCUAGUAGCAUCUGUGUCUACAUGCUUGACGAUGGGGUUUUAAGCUCAGCAUUUUUGAAUUUGGACUUGCUGGCUACCAAUGGGGCAACUCUUGGUGCCAGUAUAGAUUCAUCUAAUCGGGUGUUGACUUGACUUCAUGUUGUUUGAGUAUGGAACGAUAGGAUGUGGAUGCAAAUUAGUUGGCUAGAAUUGGCAGUGAGUAGGUCGGCUUUCCGAAC
rnacentral:rRNA from 1 species